CCUAAGAAGGUUGGGAAAGGCAAGGGUGAUAUUGGGUCUGCUUCGCAGGAGUUCUAGGGUUCUUGCUCUGUCUGGUUAUCUCCUUCUGUGGAGAUUUUUAGUUACCCCAGUUGUAAUAUACCAUGGGUUUUGUUAGUGUUUCUCUGAACCUUGUUGGUCUGGUACUUUGGAUCUUAUGCUAUAAAUGAAUGGUUCUGUCAGUAGUUUGAUGAAUUGAAUCUGUGUCAUUUUGGUGUUUAUUAUGGUGCUUUCAGUGGUGUUUAGAGUUCAUUUCAACUUUUCGAGUUCAAAAUGCUUGGUGUGUUGAGAAUGAAUUCCUGAAUUUAACAUGAACCAUCUGCCUCCAACUUUUCAAAGAAGGCACCAAACUAGUCCAAAAUGAAUAUGAUCAAAUGAGAGAUUUUUAGGAACAUUGUGCUCAGUUUGAAUUUUGAACUGUAAAGUGAUUACCCUUGGAAUCCUUGUUUGUAUGAUCUUGGACACAUUGUAGAUUGGGAUUCGGAGCCCUGUUUGGUUUAUUGAACAAAUUGUGUAGUGUUUCAAACUCAAGUUAAUGAAAUUGGUCAUGUACGUCUAAACCCAAGCUAGCAGAGGACCUCAAAUCCCGAGUAUGAGUCCUGCGAAAGCAAAAGCAAUAGUCGUCAACAGGAGUUAAGAAAAUAACUUAAGCUAAAUUAUUGCCGGUCCCACUUGUAGCAUAGUGGUUUGUUGUAAGAAGCAACAACUACUAGCUCAAAGGUUCAACUGGUGACGGGUCUGAUAUCUAAUCUAAAAUACCUUUUUGGUCUUUAGUAUGGUGAUUUCUGUUCAUUUUUAACUUAUCAAGUUCAAAAUGCUUGAUGUGUAGAGAAUGGUUUAUUCAAUAUAGCAUGAACUAUUUGCCUACAACAUUUCAAAGAACGCACUAACUAAUCCAAGAGGAAAAUGGUUGAGAUACUAUUUAUUGUUAGGAACAUUCUGCUCUCUUGUGAACUCUCAGUUAAUUACACUUAACAAAUAGAGGCUUGGAUUCUAUGUUUUGAUGAUCUUGGAUACAUUGUAGACUUGGAUUUCAUGUUUGGUUCUUGAAAUUGUGGAGUGUUUCAAAUUCAAGUGUAUAUUCACACAGAAAUAUGUCAUGGAACGCACUAGUCGUCAUGUUUAGUGGAUAAGAAAAAAAGUUAUUCUCAAUUAUUAUCGAUCCCCCUCAUAGCAUAGUGGUUGGUUAUAUAAUUCAACAUUCACUAGCGCAAGGGUUCAAUUGGCAUGAGUUUCAAGACGAACCACCAUGCUCUUAAGGUAUUCUAAAAUAACUCUUUUUCUCAUAAUAACCAUUAUCUUUUUCCCUAUUUUUAUUUACUUUUUCAAUGUGUGUUGUUGCCUUGUUGGUACUGGGAGGGUAGUGAUGUGUUGUGAAUUUCCUUUGAAUGAGCACUCAACUCAGAUUUCCCACUUCUGGAAUCACACUAUGGUGUUUAGGGCUCAUUUCAACUUCAACUUUAAAAUGCUUGAUGUGUUGAGAAUGGUUUCUUCAAUUUAACAUGAACCGUUUGCCUCCAACAUUUCAAAGAAGGCACUAACUAAUCCAAAAUGAAGAAUAUGAUUGAAAUAUUAGAUUGUUAGAGCAUUUGCACCAAUGUGCCAAUUCAGUAGGCAAUUGAUAGUACCCAUUAAUUUUCUUCAAAUAUAGCAAUGCACCGGUUCGAAAUUGCCCAGACAAUUUGUUGGGGCCUAUGUUACAGAAAUUGUCAUGCCAAUUCAAUUGUCAAUUUGUGACCAUCUAAGUGCUCAAGCAAUUCACUAGAGCCCAUUGAUAAAUAUAAACUUUGCACACUCAUAUAUGCUUUUUGCCUCUAAAAACUGAUAUUUUUUCACAAAAUAAUUAAUGUUGUACGAUUAAUCUCAGUAGUAAUUAACCAAAAUAUAAGUUUAACAUUUUUAAUUAAUGAAUUACUAUUACCAAAAAGAAUAUUUUAAAUUAUAAAAUGUGAAUAGUGGAUUAGCAGGUAAAUUGCCUUAAACUAGUGCAUUGACAAAGAAUAUGCAAUUGUCAAUUUCAUAUGAAUAGUGAAUUAGCAUGGGCAAUUCAAUUGACAAAUCAACAAUUGCUCUUCUAACGGGUGCAAAUGCUCUUAGGAGUGACUAAUUACCCUUAACAAACAAGGGGCUUGGAUUCUUUGUUUGGAUGAUCUUGGAUACAUGGUAGAGUGGAGAUUGGAUUCCUUUUUGGUUCUUGAAUAAAUUGUGGAGUGUUUCAAACUCGAGUGUAUAAAUUACAUAAACAAACCCAAGCAGAAUCCCAGUUUAAAAGAGAAGGCAAAAGAUGUCCCUGAAAAAGACCUACUAAUAUAAAGUGAGCAUACGUACCUACUGCCGAUCCCCUUGUAGCGUAGUAGAUGGUGCUAUAUGCAACAUCUGGCUCGUGGGUUCGACUGGCAUCAAAAUAUUUCCAACAACAAAGCGAGUCUCAUGAGGUGUUUUAAAAUACCUCUUUUUUUUGCCUUCUUUGAAAUGACUGCGAUGAUAAUAUAAGACAAAGAUAGUUUGACACUACUCAUUUUGUGUGGCUCAGACGACCACAUAGCAACCAUUCUCUUUUCCCAAAUUUUUUUAUUUUUCAUGUGUUUUUCUGGUACUGGAAGGGUAUGGUGAUGUGUUGUGGAUUUUGUUUGAAUGGGUACUUUGAUGCAUUGCUUAUCAUCUAAACUGAGAUUUCCCACUUCUGGAAUCAUAUUAUGCUCAUCAUCCUCUGAGAUUAGUGUGUCAAGGCAGCAAGUUUUGAAGCAAGUGGAUAAGCAGUUGGCUAAAGGGGAUGAGAGGGCAGCUCUCUCCCUUGUUAAAGAUUUGCAGGGCAAGCCUGGUGGCCUCAGAUGCUUUGGUGCUGCUAGGCAGGUUAACUUCACUUGUAUAUUGUACCGUUCUAGUUGGUUUUUUUAAAACUAUAUCAAUAUUGGUAAUGGUUAUGUGUCAGCUUUGAUGUUAUGUUGCAGCUAUGUGUGAUGUUAAGGUUUGGGAUUUGAUUCAUUUGUGCAGGUGCCUCAAAGGCUUUACACUUUGGAUGAGCUGAAGCUGAAUGGAAUAGUAACACAGUCGCUUCUGUCACCGGUGGAUACUACUCUUGGUUCCAUAGAAAGAAACCUUCAGAUUGCUGCUGUGGUAGGAGGUGUUUCUGCUUGGAACGUUUUUGGGUUUACUCCUCAGCAGCUUUUCUACGUCUCUUUAGCAGCAUUGUUUUUGUGGACUCUGGACGCGGUAAGUUCCUUAUGCAGCAUGAUGCUGGCCUUGAAAACUAAUGCCAUUGAAUUUGAUUAUCUUGAGGCACUUUCAAUUGUCUUGUUUGAAGUCAAUUCAAUAUGAUACUUGAUGUCACCAAAUCCUGUAGAUUUCUUUCAAUGGAGGAGUUAGUAGCUUGGCUAUUGAUACAAUUGGUCACACCUUUAGUCAGAAGUACCGCAAUAGAGUCAUUCAGGUAAGAUCUCUCUCACAUUUCUAUGGUAAUCAGUCCACGCAAGACUGAUUAAUUUGCAUAUGCUAGUUCCAGGAUAUAAUGCUGCCAGUUUCAAUUAAUUUUACGUUCUUUUUUAACUAUCUGUUUCAUUGUCCGACUUCAUUUUUUUGAGUCAAGUUACUUCUUUGUGUGCACUACCUAUCAGGCGGUAGGUCUGGAAGCUUUGUGCCAUGUAUGAAAUGAGGGGGGAUAUAAUGGAGAGUUUAUCUAAAACGAAUUUUCUUGUGCAGCAUGAAGCUGGCCAUUUCUUGAUUGCUUACUUGCUUGGUAUUCUCCCGAAGGGAUAUACACUAACUAGUCUGGAUGCGUUCAAGAAGGAAGGGUCUCUCAAUGUUCAAGCAGGGACAGCGUUUGUGGAUAUUGAGUUUGUUGAGGAGGUAAUGUUGUUUCUGAUCUCAAAUGCACAGGUGUUCUACAAUCAUGUCCGUCCUGCUUCUGUAAUUGCUUUCUGCGCUUAUUAGUUUCUAGUAGGCAUUUUAAAUGAUGUGAAUCGUGUGAUGUAAGUAGUCCACUACCUUUAACAUAUAGCUUAAUGUACAGUCAGACAUAUAUAACUGGUUGAUCAAGUGCUGAUUUUAUAUAAGAAAUGUGAAACUAACAAGUGAUGAGAAAUUCAUUUACGCACUUCAAUUACAGCUGGCUCAGUAGUAUAGUCGUUCAUGGGAUAUAAAAACCAGUACAAUUGCCAUGUCAAAGAGGAGAGGACGUAGUGAAACCAGUCAGACAGGAGUAGUGCAGUUUAAUUGUAGAUUGUAUUAAUUGUGAAACCAUUGUCAAUGUACAACAUUGGUUGAUAAUGACCUUGAUUUACAGUAGCUCCCAUUCCCUGCAGGUUAAUGCAGGCAAAGUAUCAGCAACUGUACGUUUUCUACCUCUCGUCUCGAAAUUUUCAAAUUUCAUCUUCCUUCCUUGAAAUGAGACAAGUUCAUGAAUUAGGAAUGCAUCUUAUUAGACGCUGAACAGAUUUGCGUGCAUAGCGCUCGCGGGUGUUGUCGCUGAGUAUCUUCUUUACGGUUAUGCUGAGGGUGGUCUAGCUGAUAUAAACCAGGUUAAUAUAUCACCAGAAUUCUUUUACUUGGCAAAAAGUAAGGUUAAUGAAAUAAUGCAAGACGUUACUAACUGAAUCUGUAUGAUUUUGAACAGCUGGAUUCACUGCUUAAAAGCUUAGGCUUUACACAGAAGAAAACUGAUUCACAAGUCAGAUGGUCUGUACUAAACACUGUCUUAAUCAUGCGGCGCCAUGAAGCAGCACGAGCUAAACUCGCAGAGGCGAUGGCAGAAGGAAAAUCCGUAGGAUCCUGCAUCGACAUCAUAGAGAAUACCAUAGGCGAUGCAGACAUCUAGUGCAGCUGGCCAGGUUGCUUUUAUUGAUACUCAGGAAAGCUUUGCGGGUUUAUCUCCUUAUGUGGAGAUGUUUAGUUGCCUCAGUUGUAAAAUACCAUGUGUGCUAGGGGGUACUCUUUUAACCUUGUUGUUCUGGUACUUUGGAUCUUAUGCUAUAAAUGAAUGGUUAUGUUAGUAGUUUGAUU
rnacentral:lncRNA from 1 species